ACGGGUGCGGAACACGUGUGCAACCUGCCUUUAUCAGGGGGAUAGCCUUUCGAAAGGAAGAUUAAUACCCCAUAAUAUAUAGAGUGGCAUCACUUUAUAUUGAAAACUGAGGUGGAUAAAGAUGGGCACGCGCAAGAUUAGAUAGUUGGUGAGGUAACGGCUCACCAAGUCGAUGAUCUUUAGGGGGCCUGAGAGGGUGAUCCCCCACACUGGUACUGAGACACGGACCAGACUCCUACGGGAGGCAGCAGUGAGGAAUAUUGGACAAUGGGUUAGCGCCUGAUCCAGCCAUCCCGCGUGAAGGACGACGGCCCUAUGGGUUGUAAACUUCUUUUGUACAGGGAUAAACCUUUCCACGUGUGGGAAGCUGAAGGUACUGUACGAAUAAGCACCGGCUAACUCCGUGCCAGCAGCCGCGGUAAUACGGAGGGUGCAAGCGUUAUCCGGAUUUAUUGGGUUUAAAGGGUCCGUAGGCGGAUGCGUAAGUCAGUGGUGAAAUCUCACAGCUCAACUGUGAAACUGCCAUUGAUACUG
rnacentral:rRNA from 1 species